rnacentral:sRNA from 1 species
AACUGAUUCUUUUGGAAAGGAAUUGCCUUUGGGGUUCGCCCCAAAACCUGGCUGAGAAUAAUAAAACUGCCCUAAGGCAGCGCCAGAACUGGUUGGGUCACUGUGUGAUCAUGGCAGCAUCAGCAUCCAAAGCAAUCCGUUUGCUCUUGAUUCCCAGCUUGGGAAAGUUUCCAAAAGUCCUUGACUGGAUGGAACGGGCAAAUCAACAAAAACAACAAGCCCGCCAUAAUAAUAAAAACAGAGCACGCACCAAUUUGGGGGGGAGCUUCGGCUCCCUCAGUAGCUUCAAACUCCCCGCCUGCAACAGUCUCU